AUGGCCUCCAGCGUGGCGGCGAUGCUGAAGAACAAGAUGCUCGUCGCCUGCGUCAUGCUCCUCGCGGUCCUGCUGAUGGCGACGCAGAUGGCGGCGGCGGCGGCGGGCGACGACGGCGCGGCACGCCGUCGCCUGCUCGAUGCGUGCCAGUACAGAAACUGCAACUGCCGCACAUGCUACAUUUUCCACUGGGCCUGUUGCGGCUUGUGCUGCCCGCCGGCGUAG
rnacentral:rRNA from 1 species